UACAGAGGUCCCAAGCGUUGUUCGGAUUCACUGGGCUUAAAGGGCGCGUAGGCGGGUGGUCAAGUCAGGGGUGAAAUCUUUCAGCUCAACUGGAAAAUAGCUUCUGAUACUGGCCGUCUUGAGGGAGGUAGGGGCAUGUGGAACUUCCGGUGGAGCGGUGAAAUGCGUAGAUAUCGGAAGGAACGCCGGUGGCGAAAGCGACGUGCUGGACCUUUUCUGACGCUGAGGCGCGAAAGCCAGGGGAGCAAACGGG
rnacentral:rRNA from 1 species